AUUGAACGCUGGCGGCAGGCUUAACACAUGCAAGUCGAGCGGAGUGAUGGUGCUUGCACUAUCACUUAGCGGCGGACGGGUGAGUAAUGCUUAGGAAUCUGCCUAUUAGUGGGGGACAACAUCUCGAAAGGGAUGCUAAUACCGCAUACGUCCUACGGGAGAAAGCAGGGGAUCACUUGUGACCUUGCGCUAAUAGAUGAGCCUAAGUCGGAUUAGCUAGUUGGUGGGGUAAAGGCCUACCAAGGCGACGAUCUGUAGCGGGUCUGAGAGGAGGAUCCGCCACACUGGGACUGAGACACCGCCCAGACUCCUACGGGAGGUAGCAGUGGGGAAUAUUGGACAAUGGGGGGAACCCUGAUCCAGCCAUGCCGCGUGUGUGAAGAAGGCCUUAUGGUUGUAAAGCACUUUAAGCGAGGAGGAGGCUCUUUUGGUUAAUACCCAAGAUGAGUGGACGUUACUCGCAGAAUAAGCACCGGCUAACUCUGUGCCAGCCGCCGCCGUAA
rnacentral:rRNA from 1 species